rnacentral:lncRNA from 1 species
GUGUACGUGGAAGUGUACAAUUUUCUAAAAGAUUUUAGGAUUUGUGAUCUUACUGUUUUUUUCCUUCCUAACUUUGCAGGUAUUUCUUAGAGGCGCAAGAGACUAGCUGCCCAAAAUGAGGUAUGCAUUAUUAUGAUCGUCUUAGUUCUAAGAGGAUUGCUGCAACUAUUUUAAAAGGGUUUCAGUACUAGAGCUAUUUUAAAAGGGUUUUAAUAGAGAUUUCUGAUGGGAUUCCUUGAUCAAUUACAGGAGACAAAUACACGUUCUGUUGUUGGUUAGCUUACUCAGGUCGAGAUCUUAGAUGGUUACUUUUUUUCUUAAUUCAAGUUCAAAGUUGAUGGUUCACGUACAAUUGAUGGAUUUAGCCAAGGUUUGAUUUGAAAGUGAAAUUUUGUCUUCACACAUUUUGCUGCAUGUGUAGACAUGAAGUCCUCCUUUUUCUUUUUCAUGGUGUUACUGUAAGAUGCUUGAAUCCUAUGGUUGAGAGGUUGAUUUCAUUAGCAGUUAACAAGGUUUCAUUUCUUCAUAUAUACAGUAGAAGUUGACACUAUUUUUUAUACAGUUGAUAAUGUCAAAUGAGGCUCACUGCUCAAUUUUGUGAUUUCCCAAUUUCAUUUUCACAUGUUUUGACCAUUCAGUUUGUCCGAAAUAGAAUACAAUCAAGACAAACAUUUACCGUAAGUACAACUCAAAACAAAAAAUAAUAGUACGCACGCGUCACGCAUAGCUCUUUCGCAUGCUAGCAUAAAUACUAGGGUAUAAACACACGCACGAGUGUGGCCUUUUCGCGCACGUAUAGAGAGAAAAUUCAUACGUCUUUCAAAAUCACAUGUGUUUGGAAGAAUGACCUGCAACCGAAUACGAUUUUAAUAUACUGAUGAAGUUCCUCAAUUUAUUUCUAUUUUCUGUAUUGGGAGCUUGACGUACUACCAUAAUUAUAUGGUUCAGUAAAAAAAAAGACAAAAAGUGACUUUUUUUUUAAUGCUUAGCAUAUCAUAAAGUUUUCUAUCUAUGAUUUUCUCUAUAUUGUAUUAUUAGAGCUCUGUUAAAUUAGGCUUUAUUAAGUGAGCACACUUAUUGUACAUUUGAGUAUGACCAAAAGAAAAUGAUCAUAUAUCAAAAUAGAAUAAUUAGCCUUUCAAGAGACAUGCCAGUCUUCACAAUUUGAAAGCGAUAAUUUACAAGCAUGAGCGCACUUGCGUGUAGGAAGACUAGAUGUUGAUCAAAUACCCAAACACUAGGCUAUAUUAAGUGAGCAUACUUAUUAUUGUCUGUUUUCAUAAAGGAUUGACGGAAAAGGAUUACAACUCAAAAUAGAAUAAUUAGUCGUUCACGAGACAUGUCAAUCUACAAACUUCAAAAACGAUAUUUGACACGCUUGAGCGCGGCCCUUCUGUAGGUUCUUAUCAAGUCACGUGUAAGUUUUGGUAGAUACCACUAUAUUAGCUCAGGGUACUUCAUGACGAAAAAAAACAUAUGCACGCGUGAGUGCAGACCUUCCGCGUGCAGGAAGGCUAGUAAAAUUUAGAAAGGAAUUUGUUUUUCAAAUUAUCCUCGAGGAAAAUUAUUGAUGACCCGGACCACCACGUCGUAUUUGGUUCAUUCUAAUACUAUUGGUCUAAACUUUUUUAUCUUAUUUCUGAUUGAUCUAUUUAUUUACCUCUAUUUUUUUUUCUCAUCUUUAUUGAUCCCCAUAGAAAAUUGAGUUACGUGGUGUACCGGUACCAGGGAAUAAUUACUCUACUCUGAAAGUUAGAUCGGUGAAUAAUUGGUAUAGGUGAGGUGGGACAGGGAAGAAAAUGUUAUAUGGUCGUCAGCUUGUCCUUCUCUUGGCUAGUGCAACCGAACCACUCUUUCUUUUUUCUUUUUUUCUUUUUUUUUUCUUGUUAUUCUUCCGAAAAAAAGUAGUUGUUGAGUCUUUCCCCAAGAGUGGGCCCCACUCGACACCUGAACGCAAAAACCCAUUUGUGGUGGUAUGGUGAGCCACGUCACCCCAUCCCAUGAUUGUCUGUUUGUCGGAAAAGUCACUACAGUGCGUCCUAGGACGGAAGGAGCCCGCCCUCCACAUACCUCAAACCCAACCAACCUCCAUAUAAACUCGACCCUUCAUCCCAUCUCAAACACACUCUCAACACUAACAAGGGUAUAUGCUUCCUUAAUACACAUUUUUCUCAAUCUACACUAGCUUCUAUCUGCUGCGUUUGUUAUACUAAUGUAUUACAACUGAAGUUUGAUCACACAUUCUUCUUCUGCUACUUCAGCACGUAUAGGUACGCACUGAAUAUAAAAAAUAUACAUAUAUGAAUAUGUGAAAUAGUGGAAGAGUGUGUCAUCAUUUUGAUUAUUUAAAGCCUAUUUUGGCUUUAUAUUCAGUGGUGUCUGUUUAAAGUUGAGUUGUGGGAUUCUCUCACUGUGAAAUGCUGCCCAUCUCUUUGCUAGUCUCAUUCAGUGUAUAGAUGCAGCUACUAGAACUUACCUUUAUGUGACAGAGCCUCAAAGUCUUUUUUCAUGAUUGCCUAGUUCUCAUCCCCAACUCAAGGAACAUGAAAACAAGUGUUGUUGUAUCGAAAAAUUAAUCGUUAGUGAACAUUUUUUCUCCAGGUAGGAUUCACGAAAGUGAAUUUUUAUGUAUGAAAUUUAAGACAUCACUACUCUUCAAGAGUCGUUCUAUACUAAACGUCUUAAAAAAGGUACUAUGAAAUUUGUCAACUGAGUUGCAAAUUAGCUAGAACUAGUUCUAAGAAAAC